GAUGAAGAACGUAGCGAAAUGCGAUAAGUAAUGUGAAUUGCAGAAUUCAGUGAAUCAUCGAAUCUUUGAACGCACAUUGCGCCCGUCAGUAUUCUGGCGGGCAUGCCUGUUCGAGCGUCAUUACGCCCCUCAAGUCCCCUGUGGACUUGGUGUUGGGGAUCGGCGAGGCUGGUUUUCCAGCACAGCCGUCCCUUAAAUUAAUUGGCGGUCUCGCCGUGGCCCUCCUCUGCGCAGUAGUAAAACACUCGCAACAGGAGCCCGGCGCGGUCCACUGCGGUAAAACCCCCCAACUUUUUAUAGUUGACCUCGAAUCAGGUAGGACUACCCGCUGAACUUAAGCAUAUCAAUAAGCGGAGGA
rnacentral:misc_RNA from 1 species